rnacentral:rRNA from 2 species
GUUGUAUGGUUAAGUGACUAAGCGUACACGGUGGAUGCCUUGGCAGUCAGAGGCGAUGAAGGACGUAUUAACUUGCGAUAAGCCCAGAUUAGGUAGUAAAAACCAUUUGAGUCUGGGAUUUCCGAAUGGGGAAACCCACUAGCAUAAGCUAGUAUCGCUGCGUGAAUACAUAGCGCAGCGAGGCGAACCGGGGGAACUGAAACAUCUAAGUACCCCGAGGAAAAGAAAUCAACCGAGAUUCCGAAAGUAGCGGCGAGCGAAAUUGGAUUAGCCCUUAAGCUUUUUAUGCGUCAGGUGAAACUUCUGGAAAGUUGUGCGAUACAGGGUGAUAGCCCCGUAACCGGCAACGCAUUUAAAGUGAAAUCGAGUAGGGCGGGACACGUGAUAUCCUGUCUGAAUAUGGGGGGACCAUCCUCCAAGGCUAAAUACUACUGACUGACCGAUAGUGAACCAGUACCGUGAGGGAAAGGCGAAAAGAACCCCUGUGAGGGGAGUGAAAUAGAACCUGAAACCGUGUACGUACAAGCAGUAGGAGCACCUUCGUGGUGUGACUGCGUACCUUUUUUGUAUAAUGGGUCAGCGACUUAUAUUCAGUGGCAAGGUUAACCAUCUAGGGGAGCCGUAGGGAAACCGAGUCUUAACUGGGCGUUCAGUCUCUGGAUAUAGACCCGAAACCAGGUGAUCUAGCCAUGGGCAGGUUGAAGGUUGAGUAACAUCAACUGGAGGACCGAACCGACUAAUGUUGAAAAAUUAGCGGAUGACUUGUGGCUAGGGGUGAAAGGCCAAUCAAACCUGGAGAUAGCUGGUUCUCCCCGAAAGCUAUUUAGGUAGCGCCUCGGACGAAUACUACUGGGGGUAGAGCACUGUUAAGGCUAGGGGGUCAUCCCGACUUACCAACCCUUUGCAAACUCCGAAUACCAGUAAGUACUAUCCGGGAGACACACGGCGGGUGCUAACGUCCGUCGUGGAGAGGGAAACAACCCAGACCGCCAGCUAAGGUCCCAAAUUACUACUAAGUGGGAAACGAUGUGGGAAGGCUCAGACAGCCAGGAUGUUGGCUUAGAAGCAGCCAUCAUUUAAAGAAAGCGUAAUAGCUCACUGGUCGAGUCGGCCUGCGCGGAAGAUGUAACGGGGCUAAGUAGUAAACCGAAGCUGCGGCAAUGCACUUUAGUGCAUUGGGUAGGGGAGCGUUCUGUAAGCGGUUGAAGUGUGUGUGGUAACGCAUGCUGGACGUAUCAGAAGUGCGAAUGCUGACAUGAGUAACGAUAAAGGGGGUGAAAACCCCCUCGCCGGAAGACCAAGGGUUCCUGUCCAACGUUAAUCGGGGCAGGGUAAGUCGACCCCUAAGGCGAGGCCGAAAGGCGUAGUCGAUGGGAAACGGGUUAAUAUUCCCGUACUUCUUACAAUUGCGAUGGGGGGACGGAGAAGGCUAGGUGGGCCUGGCGACGGUUGUCCAGGUUCAAGUGCGUAGGCUGAGAGAUUAGGUAAAUCCGGUUUCUCUUAAGGCUGAGACACGACGUCGAGCUACUACGGUAGUGAAGUCAUUGAUGCCAUGCUUCCAGGAAAAGCCUCUAAGCUUCAGAUUGUAAGGAAUCGUACCCCAAACCGACACAGGUGGUCGGUAGAGAAUACCAAGGCGCUUGAGAGAACUCGGGUGAAAACUAGGCAAAAUGGUACCGUAACUUCGGGAGAAGGUACGCUCUCGACGGUGAAGUCCCUUGCGGAUGGAGCUAUUGAGAGUCGCAGAUACCAGGUGGCUGCAACUGUUUAUUAAAAACACAGCACUGUGCAAAAUCGUAAGAUGACGUAUACGGUGUGACGCCUGCCCGGUGCCGGAAGGUUAAUUGAUGGGGUUAGACUUCGGUCGAAGCUCUUGAUCGAAGCCCCGGUAAACGGCGGCCGUAACUAUAACGGUCCUAAGGUAGCGAAAUUCCUUGUCGGGUAAGUUCCGACCUGCACGAAUGGCGUAAUGAUGGCCACGCUGUCUCCACCCGAGACUCAGUGAAAUUGAAAUCGCUGUGAAGAUGCAGUGUACCCGCGGCUAGACGGAAGACCCCGUGAACCUUUACUACAGCUUGGCACUGAACAUUGACCCUACAUGUGUAGGAUAGGUGGGAGGCUUUGAAACUAGUACGCCAGUAUUAGUGGAGCCGUCCUUGAAAUACCACCCUUGUAGUGUUGAUGUUCUAACGUCGACCCCUUAUCGGGGUUGCGGACAGUGCCUGGUGGGUAGUUUGACUGGGGCGGUCUCCUCCCAAAGCGUAACGGAGGAGCACGAAGGUGGGCUAAUCACGGUUGGACAUCGUGAGGUUAGUGCAAUGGCAUAAGCCCGCUUGACUGCGAGAAUGACAAUUCGAGCAGGUGCGAAAGCCAGUCAUAGUGAUCCGGUGGUUCUGAAUGGAAGGGCCAUCGCUCAACGGAUAAAAGGUACUCCGGGGAUAACAGGCUGAUACCGCCCAAGAGUUCAUAUCGACGGCGGUGUUUGGCACCUCGAUGUCGGCUCAUCACAUCCUGGGGCUGAAGUCGGUCCCAAGGGUAUGGCUGUUCGCCAUUUAAAGUGGUACGCGAGCUGGGUUUAGAACGUCGUGAGACAGUUCGGUCCCUAUCUGCCGUGGGCGUUGGAAGAUUGAAGGGGGCUGCUCCUAGUACGAGAGGACCGGAGUGGACGAACCUCUGGUGUUCGGGUUGUGUCGCCAGACGCAUUGCCCGGUAGCUAAGUUCGGAAUCGAUAACCGCUGAAAGCAUCUAAGCGGGAAGCGAGCCCUGAGAUGAGUCUUCCCUGAUACUUUAAGUAUCCUAAAGGGUUGUUCGAGACUAGAACGUUGAUAGGCAGGGUGUGUAAGCGUUGUGAGGCGUUGAGCUAACCUGUACUAAUUGCCCGUGAGGCUUAACCAUACAACACCCAAGGGGUUU